CCUACGCCACUAGCUUGAGUGGCUGUAAACAAUCCUAACAAUGAAGCAAUUCAAAUGGCUUUAAUUCUAAACAGUAUCUUAUUAGAAUAAUUUUUUGAAAUAUUUGAGGGUUUUGUUGUUUAAUUUAUGUAAUUUAUCUCCAUCAACAUGAAUUAUACUUACUGGAUCAUCAGUGACAGGAGAGGCAGUGUGGAAGACUCCAUCACAGCCAUAGAUUGCUUCUCUCAAACUUUGGUAGUCCAGAAGAUCAGCUCUACACAGUGUCAGUCUCUCUUUUGCACCUUCAAGUUCUCUCAAGUGACUAUUUUUGGGAUCAUCUGAAUACAAAAUCAUAAUAAUCAAAUAAAAUAUCAUUAAUUUGGAAAUGGGCAUAAUACGUAAAUGUGUCCUUUUAACAAUUGGUUUAAGCUCACAUUUACGUCCUCUUGUGCACAAGUAAGCACAUAAACAUCCAACCUGACAAAUUGCGUGAGAUGCACGCAUUCUACGUGUCAAAUCACGAGAUUUGCAACAUAGCAUAUGUGUCUACUCGUGCAACUUUAUAUGAUAGUUUAAGAGUAUACAAAAAUGUAUCAUGAAUAUUGUACAAAAAUUGAAGAUUUACCAGGAUUUCUAACGGUUCCUCUAACAGUGUAGCCUUUUUGUAGGAGGAUUUUAACAAGCCAAGAAGCAAUGAAACCUCCGGCGCCGGUGACACAGACGACUUUGCCGGAUUCCGAUGGCAUACUCUUACUUUUAUAUAUUAUAAGAGGAAAAUGAAAGUAGUGAGUGAUUUCAAGUUGAUGGAAAAGAUGGACAAGGGAGGAGUAUAUAUAGGAGUUGGAAAAGCCAAAGCCAAUAUUCACCAACUUACCUACUACUGCAGGUUACAUACACUAAUUAUUUCUUGGCUUCAGCCUUCAAAUUUGGAACUUGAACUAGAAAAUGGAAUUUAGGAAUUUUCUACCUUAUUUGAAUUGGGUGUGUUUGGUAUGAAAGGAAAACAUUUUCUCGAAAAUGUUUUUCAAUUUUCUCAUGUUUGGUUGGCUUAAAGAUUUUAAAAAAUGAUUUUCAAAUUAACUUAUUUUUCAAAAAUGACUUCCCUUUAAAAAAAAAAAACAAAGUAAGAAAAAUAUUUUUCAAAACUCUCUUUCAACCUCACUUUAAGUUGAAAUAUUCACACAACUCUCAAAAUCACUCAUUCCUACUUCGACCCUCAAUCCCCCACCCCCAUCCCCACCCCGCCUCCUACCACCCCGAUUAAAAAAAAUAUUUUAAUUAUUUUUUCUUACUUCACCCCCUACCUAAAACCCAAAACCCUACUCCCUUCCCCUUUCUAAUUUUUUUGUUUUUGUUUUUUAAAUUCAAACUUUUUUCUUACCUCCCCUACCCGACCACCCUACCAACUUCCUCCCUCAUCCCAAAAAAGAAAAAAUUUAAAUUUAUUUUUUAAAAUUUUUUAAUUUUUUCCAUAUCCCACCGUCAUUCUCCUACCCCGACCCCCACCCCCAUUCCAAAAAAAUAUUUCAAUUUUUUUUUCUUACCUCACUCUUACUCCCUUACCCUGAAAAAAAAAUAUUUUUUAAGAAACCAAAACUAUUCUCUUAAUCGCUCUUACUAUCUAUUUUGACAACGCCACCCUCCACCUACCAACCCUCUCUUCAAAAAAAAAUAUUUUUUAAAAAUGUAUUUUUAUGCUUUAGCUAAAUACUAAAAUGUAUUUUUUGAAAAAUAUUUUUUCAUUCACCAACCAAACACUACAAAAUAUUUUUCGAAAAAUAUUUUUCAUUCACCAACCAAACAUAGAAAAAUAAAUAAAAAAUCAACUUAUUUUUCGAGAAAAUAUUUUAUAGGAAAAUAUUUUCCUUCAUACCAAAUACACCCUCAGUGUUUUAAUUCAGAAGGAUCUCCUUUGGAACAAAGAACAUAAGGAAUUUUUGGUGGAAAAGAACUCUUUUAUAUCUAUCACUUUUUUCUUUUUUUAAAAGUUGUGUAUUUCUAUAUCUAUAGUACUCUCUCCGUCCCAAAUUAUCUAUUUCAAAUUGAGAUAUCACAUUAAUUAAAAAAAAUAAUUAAUAAUAUGGUUAGUUUACCGUAGUACCCCUAUUAAAUGAUGUUUACAUUUUAAUUUGAAGACAAGGUAAUUAAUGCAAAGGGUAAAACAUGAAAAAAAAAAUUUGGUCUCUUCUUAAUUAAUGAAAAAAGACAAGUAAAUGAGAAAUCAAAUUAGAAAAUUUGAGACGGAGAGAGUAUAUAAUAAGUCAUAAUAAACCGCUUAAGCAGACUGUUUAUGAUCGACAUGCCUGCUUCAGUUGUUUCAAUCGUAAUUUUAUUUUAUUAUUCUUAAUUAAUUUUUAUAAGUUAUUUACGUAUUAAAAAAUUUAAAAUAUUUAAUAAAAAAUUUAAAAUAGACAUUUAUGACAUGACUGCUUCAGCUGCUUCAACCGUGAUUUUACGAUAUCACUCAUAAUUAGUUAUUAUAAUUUAUUUAAGUAUUAAAAAAUUAAUAAUAUUUAAUAAAAAAUAAAAUAGACAUGAAAUAAUAAAUUAUUUUUUGAUGUUUUUAUAAGCCAUUUAAGUAUUAAAAAAUUAAUAAUAUUUAAUAAAAAAUAAAAUAGGCAUAAAAUGAUACAUUAUUUUUUUAUGUUUUAAAUUAACUUGAUGUCUUAUAUGAGACCACUUAAAAAAAAAUUCAAAAAUAUUUGCUACGAUAAUUUUACUAUGUCACUUCUAAUUAGUAGAAUAGAAGAAAAAAAUAUUAUAAACCACAAUAAUAAAGAAUUUAAAUUAUUUAAAAAAAUAUAAUUGACUAUCAAUGACACAAAAGUUAGAACGACCUAAAAUAUUGUUAUACAAAUUUCAUUAAUCUAAAUAUAAUAAUACAUACCUAACUUAGAAUUUAUCGACCAAACAAAUGAAUGUUUUAAUUAAAUGAUAGAAUUAUACAUAAUGCAAAAUUUUUAAGGAUUGACAUUGGACCAUGCGUAGCACGGCGUAAGCCGACUAGUCUAUAAAUAGAAUGCAAUAUCAUCCAUACACAAUGCAAUUUCAUCCAUAGUAUAGUUCUUUAGAGAGUUUUGUCGGGGGUAAUUAAUUCUCAUAAUUUAUUUGGAACAAUUUUUUAUAUUAGUAUUAUUAUAGGAAAAAUUACUUAAAACUAGACCUUAACUUUUCAUUAUUACUUAAAAUCAUAUCCCUCUAAAUUAAUUACAAAAAUUCUUUCUAACUCAUAAAAUCCUAAUAUUUGCUGAUACAUUACAACCCAUCCUAUUUUUGCGCCUCCUACUCCUCAAAACUCGCCCAAAAUCACGAAGAAGUAUCCGAUAUUUUUCACCAACUCAGCAAUUUUAAAUUUCAACCGUGUUAUCAGUCACUACAACAUUCAAGUUUCAACUUUCAAUUACAACCUCCAUUAACUUUCUUCUUCAAAUUUAUAGGAGGUAAGUUUGUUUGCAUAAUUUUUUUUAUUACAAAGACAGUGACUUUUUGUGAAAAUAGAUCGAAGUAUCAUAACUAUCCAACUAUGAUGAAGAAACUACAGGAGAUUACUGGUAGUAGCAAUAAGAAGCAUAUUGUUGGUUGAUGUUCAUUGUUUUGGCAUCAAAGAUAACAUAAUGUAUCGUUAUGGCAUCAAAGAUAUGAAACUACGGGACAUGCUAGGAGCCCAUCCUUUUGGCAUAAAAGAUACAUUACAUAGAAAUAAGAAACUACGAGACACUAGGAGCCCGUCGUUUUGGCAUCAAAGAUAACGCAAUGUAUCGUUUUGUUAAAAAAAAAGUUUUUUUAUCAAAGGUAUGAAUUAUAUGUAUUCUUGUUAACGUAAUGUAUCAUAUGUAUAAACAAGUUUUCAAAUUGGGGAUUUUGAUAAUAAAAGAGGUGUGUUGCAGAUGACUAUAUUGUAUUCGUACAUAUCUGUUUGUUCUGAUAGAUCAUAAAAUUUAUGCGUGAUUUUGAUUCUUUCUACACCUGAUACAUUCAAUAUAAUAUGUCUGAUACAUGAUCCAAGGUUAAUAAGAUAUUGCAUGCUUUCUGACAUAUAAUUCAACCCAUAUGUGAUUUUGAUCCAUUUUUAUACCUGAUACAUUUAAUAUAUUGAUUAUCAUACAUAGAUCUAUUUUCUGACCAAACUAUUGAGUGCUUUCUGAUACAUAAAAAGAUUUAUAUAUGAUAUGAGUUUCGCAUUCCUAAUACAUUAAUUUUUUUACACCUCCUACAUUUAAUAUAUAUAUAUAUAUAUAUGUGUGUGUGUGUGUGUGUGAUAUGGGUUUCGCAUUCCUGAUACAUUAAUUUUUUUACAUAGAAAGAUAUAUAUGGAAUAUGGGAUUUGUACUUCUGAGAAAUCAAAUUCUUAUAUUGUGUUUAAUUUUUUUCUGAACGCAGGGGAUGAGAUUUUUAUGAUGAAAAUGAAAUGAAUGAUUGGAGAAGGAAUUAGUUUUGGGAGAUUAUGAUUGAUGAAGCUUGAUUUGACUAUUCAAAUUUCAAAUAAAGAAGUUGUUACAGAUUUUAUGUAAUUAAACAGACACAAUCUUAGAUUGAGUGUGUUAAUUACUAAAUUGUAGGCACUUUUACUGGUUUUUUCCUUUUUUAU
rnacentral:lncRNA from 1 species